rnacentral:rRNA from 1 species
ACCACAAGAGCGUGGAGUAUGUGGCUUAAUUUGACUCAACGCGGAAAAGCUUAUCUGGUCCGGACGCAGUGAGGAUUGACAGACAGUUUCAGGAGUGGUUCUUGGUAAACAAUUGAGAGAGUUGAAGUUCUUUCAUGAUCUUGUGAGAGGUGGUGCAUGGCCGUUCUUAGUUCGUGUAGUGAUAUGUCUGCCUAAUCGCGUCACGAUAACCUAUUGGUCGACAACCCAAUUAUCACAACUGCAGCAUAACUCCCCUUGGGUGGGCGAGGCUCUGUGUAGGAUAGACCUCUGAACAGUACGCAACGAACGCGAUCGUAAUCCCUUGUUGAGUGGCCAUCCUGUAAGCUGCUGGAUUAGGAACCCAGUGGUAUUAUCUCAGCCACAGAUUUUCUGGUUGUAAUGGGCCAUUUUGAAACUCGGGGAACAUCUGUGACUUUCUUUCUUAACGCAGAGGAAGGUUAUGG